GGAAACCUGUGCAGGCACCGCGACAGGAAGGGCCUGUCCUGAGAGGCGGGAGAGCAGCAGCGCCCGAGCCAGAACCACCCUCCCCGGAGCUGCAGAGCCCCCGCAGCUCCUCGCUGCAGCACAAGUGGUGCGAAGGAUGAGCACCCACCAGAUGGCCAGGAUAAAAAAUAGCUCCUACAGCACCAGCUCCCGAAACACCGCAGAGGGGACAGGCAACAACAGAACGGGGAUAAAUGCUGGGAUCGCAAAGAAAAUCCUGCCUGGACACAAAGCGCCGUGCACUGACUAAACAGCCCAGGUCUCUCAGCCUUUCAAUAAUGCCUGUUCCUACGUGCACUGAAGCCACAGCUCUAAACCCUGGAGGAGAAGUUUCCAGUGAAGCCAUGCAGAUCUGGCAGCCUUUGGCUCAGAGGCACCUCCAACCACGGUCAGGAAACGCUGGCAUCAGUUCCAACUGAUCUGAAGAGAUGCAAACUCACCGUUCCACGUGUGAAACGGGGCAGUAAAGUGGCAUCACCAGCGAGCUCGUGCACAUCCCAAACCUCAAAGCAUUUGUGAUUUAUCACUGCUGAAAGCAGAAGACAGCUUCCCACCCAAGGCGCUUCAAGACUUCAGAGCUUCAGCUGAAGAUACGCUCAGAUAAGAAAACUAUUUCCAAGAUCAAACCCUUGAGAAGGUAAUUGUGGUGUAACCCCAGGGUAAAUACAGCUUCCCAGGCUCCUGCUGGAGCUGACAGUGCUGGAGGAGAAGCCAGCGAUGGUUUCUGCAGAGGUAGCACCACACCUGGACCCACCUGGGCAUUUUGCCAGCAGCCAACAUUAAAACAUUUAAUUUACAA